rnacentral:lncRNA from 1 species
AACGGACCUAAGUAAGGAAGUAUGUGUGGAAGAAGGUUCCAGAAGAUCUUGUGAUGUUCCUCAUGAAGUCUGUGAGGGGAUGAGCUUGCUGGAGGAGUAGAUGGAGUGAAAGG